AAAUUAUUUAGGAUUU
rnacentral:rRNA from 1 species